GAUGAACGCUGGCGGCGUGCCUAAUACAUGCAAGUCGAGCGAACGGACGAGAAGCUUGCUUCUCUGAUGUUAGCGGCGGACGGGUGAGUAACACGUGGAUAACCUACCUAUAAGACUGGGAUAACUUCGGGAAACCGGAGCUAAUACCGGAUAAUAUUUUGAACCGCAUGGUUCAAAAGUGAAAGACGGUCUUGCUGUCACUUAUAGAUGGAUCCGCGCUGCAUUAGCUAGUUGGUAAGGUAACGGCUUACCAAGGCAACGAUGCAUAGCCGACCUGAGAGGGUGAUCGGCCACACUGGAACUGAGACACGGUCCAGACUCCUACGGGAGGCAGCAGUAGGGAAUCUUCCGCAAUGGGCGAAAGCCUGACGGAGCAACGCCGCGUGAGUGAUGAAGGUCUUCGGAUCGUAAAACUCUGUUAUUAGGGAAGAACAUAUGUGUAAGUAACUGUGCACAUCUUGACGGUACCUAAUCAGAAAGCCACGGCUAACUACGUGCCAGCAGCCGCGGUAAUACGUAGGUGGCAAGCGUUAUCCGGAAUUAUUGGGCGUAAAGCGCGCGUAGGCGGUUUUUUAAGUCUGAUGUGAAAGCCCACGGCUCAACCGUGGAGGGUCAUUGGAAACUGGAAAACUUGAGUGCAGAAGAGGAAAGUGGAAUUCCAUGUGUAGCGGUGAAAUGCGCAGAGAUAUGGAGGAACACCAGUGGCGAAGGCGACUUUCUGGUCUGUAACUGACGCUGAUGUGCGAAAGCGUGGGGAUCAAACAGGAUUAGAUACCCUGGUAGUCCACGCCGUAAACGAUGAGUGCUAAGUGUUAGGGGGUUUCCGCCCCUUAGUGCUGCAGCUAACGCAUUAAGCACUCCGCCUGGGGAGUACGACCGCAAGGUUGAAACUCAAAGGAAUUGACGGGGACCCGCACAAGCGGUGGAGCAUGUGGUUUAAUUCGAAGCAACGCGAAGAACCUUACCAAAUCUUGACAUCCUUCGACAACUCUAGAGAUAGAGCUUUCCCCUUCGGGGGACAAAGUGACAGGUGGUGCAUGGUUGUCGUCAGCUCGUGUCGUGAGAUGUUGGGUUAAGUCCCGCAACGAGCGCAACCCUUAAGCUUAGUUGCCAUCAUUAAGUUGGGCACUCUAAGUUGACUGCCGGUGACAAACCGGAGGAAGGUGGGGAUGACGUCAAAUCAUCAUGCCCCUUAUGAUUUGGGCUACACACGUGCUACAAUGGACAAUACAAAGGGCAGCGAAACCGCGAGGUCAAGCAAAUCCCAUAAAGUUGUUCUCAGUUCGGAUUGUAGUCUGCAACUCGACUACAUGAAGCUGGAAUCGCUAGUAAUCGUAGAUCAGCAUGCUACGGUGAAUACGUUCCCGGGUCU
rnacentral:rRNA from 1 species